AACGAACGCUGGCGGCAUGCCUAACACAUACAAGUCGAACGAGACCUUCGGGUCUAGUGGCGCACGGGUGCGUAACGCGUGGGAACCUGCCCUUAGGUUCGGAAUAACUCCCCGAAAGGGGUGCUAAUACCGGAUAAUGUCUUCGGACCAAAGAUUUAUCGCCUCUGGAUGGGCCCGCGUUGGAUUAGCUAGUUGGUAGGGUAAAAGCCUACCAAGGCGACGAUCCAUAGCUGGUCUGAGAGGAUGAUCAGCCACACUGGGACUGAGACACGGCCCAGACUCCUACGGGAGGCAGCAGUGGGGAAUAUUGGACAAUGGGCGAAAGCCUGAUCCAGCAAUGCCGCGUGAGUGAUGAAGGCCUUAGGGUUGUAAAGCUCUUUUACCCGGGAUGAUAAUGACAGUACCGGGAGAAUAAGCUCCGGCUAACUCCGUG
rnacentral:rRNA from 1 species